CUUAAGAAGCCCUACUUUAUGAGAAACAAAUUAUACUACGUGCCCUACUUUUUGAAAAAGAUUAAACAUGCUAUGAUCAUAGUGGGUUAUAAAUUAUUGAAAUAGGCAUUGCCUUGACAACUUUUGAAGUUAUUCUUUGAUCUUCUACACUUUCCUUAGACGAUAAAAAAUGGCUACGAGGGGAUAUAAGGCCAGGUUUGUGCUCAUAAUUGUGCUACCUCUUCUUCUGUCUUUGAUGUGCCAAGAGAUUGUAGCAACGGGAAGAUUAAGAAGCAAAAAGGAGGGUUGUGUAUCUACUGGCAUUGCUUGCCAUGUCAAGGUCACUGGAUCACAUGAUCCUCUAGAAAUGGAUGAAUAUGAUCAAGCUUUUGUUUCUCCACCUCAUGAUGAUUAUGACUUCUAUAGAAAACAUGGUGAUAUUCCAAGCCCAGGUGUCGGUCACUAAGAUUGGCUUAAGAUUGUGAUUAUGGUUUUGGGGACCAAAACUUGCCUGUUGGUCAAAUACCGUGCCGAAGAGGAUGUCAGAGAUGUUUUAUAUGGAUUACUGUGGGUAUUUUAGUUGUUGUUUAGUGUUUAUAUGACAUACAAAAUUGAGGAUAAGAUAAAUUGAAUUUAUAAAGAUUUGUUUAUUUACAUAGUGAGGAUGAGAUGCAAUGUUUGUGUAUUUUAUUCUGUCAAAAUAAAUAAUAAGUUUUUUUUUUUUAUCGUUU